UCUCUGAUAGUAUAUCGGUUAGUACACGCGCCUGUCAUUUGAACGCGCGAAAGCUGGGUUCGACUCCCAGUCAGAGAG
rnacentral:tRNA from 1 species